rnacentral:rRNA from 1 species
CCGUUGCCGGCGACCGGCGCACGGGUGAGUAACACGUAUGCAACCUGCCCGUGGCAGGGGGAGUAAGCGGGGGAAACCCCGGUCUAAUACCGCGUAACGCGGCCUAGGGACAUCCCAAGGCCGCCAAGGGAGCAAUCCCGGCCACGGAUGGGCAUGCGGCGCAUUAGCUAGUCGGCGUGGUAACGGCCCACCGAGGCGACGAUGCGUAGGGGUUCUGAGAGGAAGGCCCCCCACACUGGUACUGAGACACGGACCAGACUCCUACGGAAGGCAGCAG